rnacentral:tRNA from 1 species
GCCAGAUUGCCCGAGCGGCCAAAGGGAACGGACUGUAAAUCCGUCGGCUUUUGCCUUCGAUGGUUCGAAUCCAUCAUCUGGCAC